rnacentral:misc_RNA from 1 species
UGAGGUUUUAAGUUUCUAAUGGUUUGAAAAUUAAUUGCCGAAAACUCUCUUGUUGCUGGGUGGUUGUAUUUUGGCUGAGCAAGAAUAUUGGAGAUCCCCAAAUUGAACCUAAAUUAUGAAUUGAAAAGUUUCAGGCAUGAAAAGUCUUUGCUACUGUAGGCACCAGACCAAACUUGGUCUACUAUCGUGGUAUGUUUUUGGAUA